rnacentral:rRNA from 1 species
UACGUAGGUGGCAAGCGUUGUCCGGAUUUACUGGGCGUAAAGAGCGCGCAGGCGGUCGUCCAAGUCGCGUGUGAAAGCCCCCGGCUCAACUGGGGAGGGUCACGCGAUACUGAUCGACUCGAAGGCAGGAGAGGGUAGUGGAAUUCCCGGUGUAGUGGUGAAAUGCGUAGAUAUCAGGAGGAACACCGGUGGCGAAGGCGGGUCUCUGGGCAGUGAACUGACGCUGAGGAGCGAAAGCGUGGGGAGCGAACAGG